ACCUGAAUAAAUAGAGCACAAAAACACUUCACAAUUUCUAAAGUUUUUCUAAAAAAAGGAACUGAGGUAAACAGGGUCUGAAAGAAGGAAAGAAUUGUAUUGCUGCUGGUUUAAUCUAACUGAACAUAGUGUUAGUGCUUAAAUAUUAAUAAGAAUUAACAAAAAAUGAUCAAACCUAUGAGGUUCAGAACAUUGAGCUCAUUAAGAUUUGCCAAUGGCUACAUGGUAUUUAAGCAGCUACAAUCACCUCAUCCAUUUUCAAACUGACUAGCAGUCAUCAAGAGAGGCAAUCCUGUACUAUCAUCGUUACAAAUUCACGCAUAGGAUAAACUCAGAGGAUGGCAAGAACAGCAGUCAUGCACAUUUAGCCUGGCGUACCGAGACUGAGAUUGACUGAGUCUGUUAAACCAACUCAAAAACCUGUAAGAAAACUCUUUAUUAGGUUUAUGUCAAUUUUGCAUCAUUUGAUUGCUAACAGUGAGUGAGUGCAUACUGCUGUGAACUGAACAGAAAUAGCUAUUUUAAGCCACAAUUUAUACAGAUUUGGAUCAAGUCUAAUUUAAAAGUUUCCUUAAACCCAUGCAACAUCUUGUUUAAAAAAAGAACACAGUACAGAAACUGAGACUGAGUAAGCAAGAACUCUUUAUUUUUCUACUGAAUAUUAAUCCAAAAUAGGAAUCAAGAGGAGUAACACUGGAUGAAGAAGGCUGACCAAAGUCUUUGGUCGAUAGAUCAGCAAUGGGCUAUCAUCGAUCCCCACUGGCCUCUAGACAACUCACUACCACUUAAGUUGGCUUUCCCAGAUCUGACAUAUACCUCAAUUUCUUCCACAUACAAGGUGAAAAAAUAUAUCCCUUUUUUCCUCACAGGGAAUGCACAAGACAUUUUCUGUCUUGAAGAUGUUGGAAAAAAACUAAAUAGCCAAGCAUCAGACUACUAAAUUUACAGGUUUUGGAACAUCAUCUUCAGAGAAACAAGCUGAAGAGACAGUUGGACAUUAAGGAGCCAAAACAUGGUGUUGCAAUACUGGUGGUCCAUCACAGCAGAGAUGGCUUUGCGUCCUCCCAGAUACAGAUGCAAUUGCAACCUGUGACGUUGUUCUAAUGUCAGAAGUUAGCUGCAAUUGCUUCCUCCUGAUAAGGACCAUCAAAGCUCUGAAGAACUCACUUAAGCAAUCAGACUUUAACUGCGUUUAGAAGAUUUUUUCCCUGGUAUCUCACAAGUUUGGAGAUUAGCAAGUACAUCCUGUCUGAAAUUUCAUACAGCAUAGAGGACAUGGCAUUAUUCUACACGCACUUCCACUCUUGAGGAUACAGAAAACAUUCAGAGCAACAUAGUUCAAUUUCACAUGCUGGGCUUCUCUAUUCCAUUGGGUCCUUAUCUUUCCCCUGGGCACCUAUAAUCUUCUCUACUCUUCAGGCUUACUAGUUGACUUUAAAUUAUUUUUUAAAUGCAGAAUUUUAGUUUGGAGACUUACAAGGAUCAGCGCUUACAUUAAAUUGAAAAAUCAAA